rnacentral:lncRNA from 1 species
CAGACUGAUGUCUCAGUGGUGUACGCCACUCUCCACAUGGGGCUGGACGGGCUUCUCUCCUCUUCAGCGUAGUCGGAGGCUGCCUCCUUCUCUACACCCACCACUCAGCAGUUCACUGACCCAGAGCCUGAGGGCCACAACUGCUAUGAGGGCUGGGAGGAGGACCUGCUGCCUGAGGAGAGGGAGGUUCCUCUGCUAAACCUCUACCUUACCACCAAGAAAGUGGAGGACAUCGCCCUGAGGUUCGUCUCCCUGCGCCAGGCCUUCACUACCCUGCUUGGUUCCACCCUGAGCAGGAACCAUCUGUUUGUGGCGGGAAAGGUCCUCCUGGGCGGCCUUGUUCAGGCCAACCACAUGGACAAGGCCAAGUUCAUCCGUACCUAUAACGACUUUGUGGACUACCUGAGUGACCCCUCCAAGCGGAAUGACAUUGAAAGGGAGCUGGCUGAGGCAAAGGUGAGUUCAUUAACUCUUUCAAGUCUCACUGAGUUCUUCCACAUCACCUAA